UCUCUCUCUCUCUCUCUCUCUCUCUCUCUCUCUCUCUCUCUCUCUCUCUCCGUUGUAUUUCCGCUUCUCUCUCUCGUUGGAUAGCGAAGAAGGUGGAGAGGGAGAGCGUCCCUCUCUCCAGAUUCGGAGUCUUAGUCGCCCAGCUCGAAUCGAUAAUUGCUUCCGCACCACAGCAGCCUCCAGACGCCUUGCUCUGCUUCGAUCUCCUCUCCAAUCUUGUCUCCGUCAUCGACAAUGAGCCAAAGGCCAGUACUUCUCUCAAUUCCAUUUCCUUCUCCUCCUUCAGAUCCAAUCCCCGUCUCCGAUCUCAACCGUCCGUGCAUUUCUUACUUCCAGUGACGGAUCUGAUUUCUUGAAUUUUUUUAUUAAUCAGUGGAGAAGAAGCAGAUGGCUUCUGCUCUGUUCCUUCGACGCUUCUACUGCUGCAGCAGGAGCACCAAUGGAGCUUCUGCUCUCGACCGAACAAGGAAGAAGAAGCAACUCGUUUUCGUGGGCUCUCUUUCUCUUCUUCAAGAGAUUUCCUCAUCUUUUUUUUUUUUUCCCCAUCUCAAUCCGACCUACUGAUUUCUCUUUUUUCUCUUCUCAGAAAGGAGCAGGAGUGUUCUUUUUGUCAGGUCUGAUGCCAGCUUCUCCUGCCAUGGGAAUCCGAGGUUUCGCACUGGCAAUCUGAUCACCAAUGCAGUUGCAAUUGUGCAGGCCUUCCCUGACAAUUGUUUUCAAAUGGAUGAUUUUACAUUUGUUGCAAUGGAACUCUGUGUAAAGUAUCAGUAUGAAAUAUUUCAGAGUGUUGAUGCAAUCACCCAAGAUCAACAAAGUUUCAAAGAAUUAAUUUCUGCACUAUUCAUUACGGCUGAGACAAUAGUACGACGCAUGAAUCAUAAGAAGCAGUGGAAGUUGAUAUUGGGAUUUUUAUCAAUUACUUACAAGUGCUUAAAAGGUGCUUCGACUGACUCAUGCUUGUCAACAUAAUUUCUUUUGCCCGGAAUAUUCUGCCUUUGUUGAAGAAACAUUUGGGAGUUGACUUCUUGCAUUUGUCAAUGGUGAUCGAAGUAGUAGAUGGGUCCAAGCCUAGUUUCUUGUAUCUCAUGGAUCUUACAGGGAUCCAAAACAGAUUUACCCAGGGAUGAGGGUUUUAGUGUGCUGCCAUUCUUUUGACAUGGUGCCAUGUUGUCACGGGAAGUUCAUUCUCAUGGGCGCCAAGUUGUCACAGGAAAUUCAUCCUCAUGGGCCUAAGUCAUGGACUUGACUAAAUUUAUGAGUUCUUAAGUGGGCGAGGGAGCUGCAGCUCAGUGCAUUAGUGGAUUUACAGCUAUGGAUAUAGCUCCUCCCCAUGGUCGUCUCUGGAUCUUGGGUGAUGUCUUCAUGGGAGUCUACCAUAAUGCGUUUGACUAUGGAAAUCCUUUAUCUGAGAAAUUGCUUCAGCAUGAUGCAUGUGCCAUCUGUAUUACAGUCUUGAGAUUGCAGCUAUCAGGAUAAAACCAUAUAGCUGCAGCCUGCACAAAAUUAAGAAGUAUUACAUUGGCCGUGGAACAACUGUCUUUUUUAUUGAAUAUUGGCCGUGGAACAACUGUCAUUCUGUCUGAUAAAUUACAACAGAUUUGUUUUUGCCCACAAAAGAUAACCUGAGGAGAAGGGAAAUGGACAGAGAAGUGCAAGCUAUCUGACCCUAUCUUUCUUUUUUUUUAAAAAAAAAUUAUUAUUAUUGUUAUUUUAAUGAGAAGGA